rnacentral:rRNA from 1 species
GUGAGUAACACGUGAGCAACCUGCCCCUGACUCUGGGAUAAGCGCUGGAAACGGCGUCUAAUACUGGAUAUGUCCCAUCACCGCAUGGUGUGUGGGUGGAAAGAUUUUUCGGUUGGGGAUGGGCUCGCGGCCUAUCAGCUUGUUGGUGAGGUAAUGGCUCACCAAGGCGUCGACGGGUAGCCGGCCUGAGAGGGUGACCGGCCACACUGGGACUGAGACACGGCCCAGACUCCUACGGGAGGCAGCAGUGGGGAAUAUUGCACAAUGGGCGGAAGCCUGAUGCAGCAACGCCGCGUGAGGGAUGACGGCCUUCGGGUUGUAAACCUCUUUUAGCAGGGAAGAAGCGAAAGUGACGGUACCUGCAGAAAAAGCACCGGCUAACUACGUGCCAGCAGCCGCGGUAAUACGUAGGGUGCAAGCGUUAUCCGGAAUUAUUGGGCGUAAAGAGCUCGUAGGCGGUUUGUCGCGUCUGCUGUGAAAUCCCGAGGCUCAACUUCGGGCUUGCAGUGGGUACGGGCAGACUAGAGUGCGGUAGGGGAGAUUGGAAUUCCUGGUGUAGCGGUGGAAUGCGCAGAUAUCAGGAGGAACACCGAUGGCGAAGGCAGAUCUCUGGGCCGUAACUGACGCUGAGGAGCGAAAGGGUGGGGAGCAAACAGGCUUAGAUACCCUGGUAGUCCACCCCGUAAACGUUGGGAACUAGUUGUGGGGUCCUUUCCACGGAUUCCGUGACGCAGCUAACGCAUUAAGUUCCCCGCCUGGGGAGUACGGCCGCAAGGCUAAAACUCAAAGGAAUUGACGGGGACCCGCACAAGCGGCGGAGCAUGCGGAUUAAUUCGAUGCAACGCGAAGAACCUUACCAAGGCUUGACAUACACGAGAACGGGCCAGAAAUGGUCAACUCUUUGGACACUCGUGAACAGGUGGUGCAUGGUUGUCGUCAGCUCGUGUCGUGAGAUGUUGGGUUAAGUCCCGCAACGAGCGCAACCCUCGUUCUAUGUUGCCAGCACGUAAUGGUGGGAACUCAUGGGAUACUGCCGGGGUCAACUCGGAGGAAGGUGGGGAUGACGUCAAAUCAUCAUGCCCCUUAUGUCUUGGGCUUCACGCAUGCUACAAUGGCCGGUACAAUGGGCUGCGAUACCGUAAGGUGGAGCGAAUCCCAAAAAGCCGGUCCCAGUUCGGAUUGAGGUCUGCAACUCGACCUCAUGAAGUCGGAGUCGCUAGUAAUCGCAGAUCAGCAACGCUGCGGUGAAUACGUUCCCGGGUCUUGUACACACCGCCCGUCAAGUCG